UUCACUCGUGUGACCUCAUUUUCCCUGGAUGGCCAGACACGAGCUCAGGAGCUACGAGUGAAGAUACAAAAUGCUGUCGCACUGACCCUUUGCCCUCACUGGCGGCUGGAGGGCAUCCGCCCCACGCGAUGAGGCAAAGGGCCCACCGAGCUGUUAACACUUCAGCCAUUCACGGAUGGCAGCGCUGAAAGCGCGCUGUAACAGCCCUCUGGGCUUCCGGAGUACCUCAGCUGGACACCGCCUCAGGACUCACACAGCGUUCGCUCCUUCCGGCGUAAGUGGCAGCCGGUUCCAGCGCUUACGCUCUCUAGUUCCCGCCUUUCCUGCUCGCACGCUCGCUCCAGCAAGGGCUGAAUAAAUGAGGCCCAGUGCGGAGUCUGCGAGAAGAGGCCGGUCAGGGAAAUAUCCUGCUUCAUCUGGGGGGCUGUCCAACAUUCGUCAGAAGGGAUAAGAUCUAGAUAUGCAGACCAGAGCUAUAAUAAUGCGUGAUAUUAUGGAAGUAGCAGGAUAUUAAGAGGCAGACAAAGAUGUAUGUCAGGAGGUGAAUAAAUAAAGACAGUGAACCAUUCCUUCUACUCUCAGAAGUAAACAAAGCUGGUCAUUAAAGAGAGAUGUGAUCUCACUGUGUUGCCCAGGCUGAUCUCAAAUUCCUGGCCUCCAGCUAUCCUCCUGUCUUGACCUCCCAAAGUGUUGGGUUUACAGGAUUACACAUGAAUCGUAUAUGUGAGGCACUCUAUACCUUCUUCUUUUUUUUUUACCAAAGUCACCUUCAUAAUGGAUGAUAACACAGAACAAGGCAUAACAAGUACUGUUUUUAAAGGAGUUACAUUCAAAUGAGGGAAGAUGUACAAUGAAAACAUGAACACAUAAGACGAUUUGAAAUGAUGAUUAAUAGUACAAAGGACAUAACGCUGGGAAAUGUAGACAGAAACUUUAAGGAUGGAGCAUGGCUGGAAAGACAUUACAUUCAUCCAGGAAAGCCAACUCUGGUGUUACAAAUGCAGUGGCAAACAGCAAGGUACAUGUUAUUCUUGUUUAGAAGAAUAAAAUCAAAUAAUGUGUUUUAACAGUUUACCCUAUGUAUUUAUCAGAGUGGAACCUAGAGGAUUUCAUAUUCAUUGAAAGUUUAGAAGGACUGUAACCCAAUUUGUAAAGUCUCCAU